rnacentral:rRNA from 1 species
UGAGUAGGCGGUUGCAUAUGUCAGAUGUAAAAGGCACAGGCUUAACUUGUGUUAGCAUUUGAAACUGUGCGACUUGAGUGCAGGAGAGGUAAGUGGAAUUCCUAGUGUAGCGGUGAAAUGCGUAGAUAUUAGGAGGAACACCAGUGGCGAAGGCGACUUACUGGACUGUAACUGACGCUGAGUCACGAAAAGCGUGGGUAGCAAACAG